AAGACCAUUAUUAAAAACCCACUGUUGGCAUAAUAAUAAUAAUAAUUAUGCCAAGAAAACUGGGACAACCCAUGUAAAUUGGGACAUACAAUUAUUCUAUCUAUAACUAAAACACCUUCACAGAUUUACGUGUUAAUGUUCAAGGUUUCCCUUGUCUUUGCCUUUCUUCUAGAUCACUUUUUACAGAAGAUGUUUUGUAAAUAGUUGAUGUUCAAAGAGUAUACCCUAGAAAGCAGAAGAGCCACUUCGCCUUCUCUCAUCCCUAGAAAAUUGUGUCUUAAGAAAAAAUUACAACAUUCCUAAAUCCUGGCCAACUGCACACUCAAUUUUCUUGAGCCUAUGUAACUACCUAACGGUUUUCUUAAGCUUGUAUAACUCCAUGAAACUGGAUCGGCACCAUUCAGUAGAACUCUGCAAUGAUGGAAUGUUCCAUAUGUGCUCUGUAGUGACAACAUAGUAGUCACUAGCAAUAUGAGUUAUUGAGAAGAUCAUGGCAAGAGUGACCAAGAAAUUAUAUUUUAAAUUUUAUUUAAUUUUUCUUAAUUUAAAAGUAUGUUUAAAUAGCUGCAUAUGUUUACCAACUAACAUAAUGAACAUCUCUAGAUCACUGGAAAUAAAAAGAUGAUGCACAAGUUGAUAUGGCUUGGCUGUGUCCCCACCCAAAUCUCAUCUUGAAUUCCCAUGUGUUGUGGGAGGGGCCCAGUGGGAGGUCAUUGAAUCAUGGGGGCAGGUCUUUCCCAUGCUGUUCUUGUGAUAGUGAAUAAAUCUCAUGAGAUCUGAUGGUCUUUAAAAGGGGAGCUUCCUUGCACAAGCUGUCUUCUCUUGUCUGCUGUCAUGUGAGAUGUGCCUUUGGCCUUUCACCGUAAUUGUGAGGCCUCCCCAGCCACAUGGAACUGAAGCUAUUAGAGGACACUCACCUUCAAAAUGAGGAGAAAUAUGAGAAAAGGAAGACAAGAAUUCAAGAAGUCAGAGAUCCAACAAUAAUAACAAAAGUGGUAAGGUAAUUCUCAGGAUGACAGUAACAGGAAGUCCCAAGAAGACAGAAGUCCAGAUUGGUGAAAGACAAUGAAGAAUUACAAGAGGUUUGCACUCUGAAGAGAAGAAGGAAAAAAACGGAACUCAUAGUUUGUCUAAUGUCUUUGACCACGUUUCAAGGAAGUACCUGGUUCUGUGCAAAGUUAGCAAAAGGUGUAUU